rnacentral:misc_RNA from 1 species
AAUUCCCAGGCUCCUCCAAGAAAAACUUUAGCUCAGCUGCUCGUCUAGCAGUCGCAAACCGAACAACAGGAGCCCGUGUCAUUGCAUCCCUUAAUACGACACUGGACGCCCCGCCUGACUCAGUAAUCGCCUUGCACCCUCUAUUAGUGCUCGCAACCAAACAUCCCUCAGUAGUUGCCAUCGGCACAUAGAACACCCUCCCAUCUAGCCGCAGUGGCCCGGCAAUCCCGACCGGUAGCUGCACGUAUCCGACAGGCAUUUCGCAGCACUGCCCGAGAAUCGAAGCAUAAUCAAAUCCAUCCAGCGGCAGCCCCUCCAUCCCACGCCCGGUGAUCUGUCGUAGCGCCUCGCGGCGGACACCCGCAGCCCGCCGACAAUCACCGAGGCGGGAUUCCAGAGCGUAGAGUGGGAUCUCGCCGGAGAUUACCGAUUGAACUAUGUCGG